rnacentral:tRNA from 1 species
AUUUAUAAAGUAUACUCCUUGUACAUUUAACUUCCAAUUAAAUAGACUAAAUUAAAUUAGUAUAAAUA